rnacentral:rRNA from 1 species
GACGGAGGGUGCAAGCGUUGUUCGGAUUGACUGGGCGUAAAGGGCGUGUAGGCGGUUGGUCAAGUCUGAUGUGAAAGCCCGGGGCUCAGCCCCGGAAGGGCAUCGGAAACUAGCCAGCUGGAGCGCGAUAGAGGAGGGUGGAAUUCCUGGUGUAGCGGUGAAAUGCGUAGAUAUCAGGAGGAACACCGGCGGCGAAGGCGGCCCUCUGGAUCGUUGCUGACGCUGAGACGCGAAAGCGUGGGGAGCAAACAGGAUUAGAUACCCUGGUAGUCCACGCUGUAAACUAUGGGUACUAGGUGUUCGGGGUAUUGACCCCCUGAGUGCCGCAGUUAACGCAUUAAGUACCCCGCCUGGGGACUACGGCCGCAAGGUUAAA